rnacentral:rRNA from 1 species
GAACCUUAUCAUUUAGAGGAAUGGAGAACUCGUAACAAGGUUUCUUGCGCUUAUUACCGUAGUGCGUAGGUGAACCUGCGGAAGGAUCAUUGCCGAUAACCGACCGAGAGACCGCGAACCUGUAAACGGAUGACACCGUGUCGGGCGGGCACUAUGCCCGCCCUGCUCGGGACCUCGCACCGUGUCCGGGACCGCCUUCGAGCGCUCCGGACACGAUUUGCGGGGGANGGACGAAACCCCGGCGCGGCCUGCGCCAAGGAACAUANGACAGGACGGACGCACGUCAACGCCUCUGCGGCGGGGCGACGUUCGCUCUCUAUCCAUACGACUCUCGGCAACGGAUAUCUCGGCUCUCGCAUCGAUGAAGAACGUAGCGAAAUGCGAUACUUGGUGUGAAUUGCAGAAUCCCGUGAACCAUCGAGUCUUUGAACGCAAGUUGCGCCCGAGGCCUUUCGGCCGAGGGCACGCCUGCCUGGGCGUCACGCCUUGUUUCGCUCCGUGCCCAUGCCCCCUCGGGGGCGGUCACGGAUGCGGAGAAUGGCCCUCCGUGCCUCGUGUGCGGCGGGCUUAAGCCAAUGCGUUUGCAGUCUGAUCAAUCACCAGCAGGAUGUCGUGGCCCCCUGUCGCCUUUAGGGGCUCAAGAGACCCGGAACAGGCGAGCCGUGCUCCUUUACGAUGCGUCGGUAGAAUGCCAAUAUGCGACCCCAGGUCAGUGGUAAACGGCCCUCCGUAUGCGGGGACACCCGCUGAGUUUAAG